GUUAUGCAAGUACAGCCCUUCUCAGUUCCCUGGAAAGACCUGAAUGCAGCCAGGGCCUCAGGUGUGAGAUCACAGAUCCAGUUCUGGAGGACAGAAGUUGAAGAUCAGAACGCCAGCAUGGAUGGAGUCUCAGCAAAGCUGUGUCCAGAUUCUAGUCCACCUAAGUCAUGAGAUAGGGAGCUAUGAAAUAUCUGAGCUGAGCAAGUGAUGCACAAGAGGACAGAAUCAGUAUGACCUUUAUACAGUGACCUGGCUCAAAUAAUUCCAGGCUGUCAUUAACCAGGUGAGCUCCUCUAGAGGGGGUGAGCUGUGAACAAGGCUGCUGAAUGUCACACCAGAUGGCCAGCAUGUCUGUGAAGGGCAGAAACUGGGUCAGCCAAACAGCUGGCAGAGGCCAGCUGGACAGAGGCUCCCUUUUCCUACAGUUGGAAUGAGGGAUGGGGAGAUUUGAUGGUGUCCUGUACAAGUUGGAUGUUAAUUUGACGUGGUGCUGCUGGAGAAGCUUGCCUGAGUCAGGCACAUUCUCAGCACGUGGUAUGUGCUGCCCCUUCAAAGCUGCAGGAGUCUCAGAAGAGGCCCUGCCUGGCUGCUGGGGCUGCCCUGGAGACUCACCCUGCCUCCUCCUCCUCUUCCCUCCACAGUUAUGCUGGCUUCUAUCCACAGC
rnacentral:lncRNA from 1 species